CUCUAGGAUGUGCUCAUUGCAUGGGCUGUGUAUAGUAUUAUUCAAUACCCAGAGCAUGCAAUGUGAACAUAAUAGAGAUU
ensembl:miRNA MIR1912 microRNA 1912